GAAAUAUUAAGAAGAUCGACCUUAAAAGAAAAAUGAAAGUUUUAUUAUUCAAAAGUAAUUACAAGUCAUUCUGCGGGCGGAUCUCCCCCAGCCCGGGCUUCAUCUACAUUAUCACCCUCCAGUUCACUCUCACUCUCAGCCUCGACAUUCAGGGCGAGCUUCUCAAUCCAGGAGAAGUCUUCUUGAGGAUAGCGCUUAAGCAGUUCGGCAAGAAGAUCACUAUGAGCUUGCACGUAAGCGUUGGCUUCUUUCUCAAUGGCUUCGUUCUCCUUUGCCUUCAGCUUUUCAGUAUGUUUGGCUAAGUCAGCUGCUCGGCCUGCCUGAACAUCCUCAAGUUCUUUUCGUAGUCGAGCUGCCAGAUCCUCAGAAGACUUCACCUGUUGCUCAAGUUCUUUGACUCAAACGUGGGCAACGGUCAACUGGCCUUUGCAGGUGACGAGCUCGUAGACCGCCUUAGACAUCUCCCGUCUCAAGAAAUUGACCUUCUCCUUCACUAUGUGCUAGGCGGCGAUGACUUCUAAACUUAAGCUCAUUGA
rnacentral:misc_RNA from 1 species